AAAGAUAUAGUUUAUGAGCUUUUUAAAACAUUAAGAUGUCAACUUAAAAAAUAAUUCUUUA
rnacentral:tRNA from 1 species